rnacentral:rRNA from 1 species
AACGAGCGCUGGCGGCAGGCUUAACACAUGCAAGUCGAGCGCCCCGCAAGGGGAGCGGCAGACGGGUGAGUAACGCGUGGGAAUCUACCCAUCUCUACGGAAUAACGCAUGGAAACGUGUGCUAAUACCGUAUACGUCCUUCGGGAGAAAGAUUUAUCGGAGAUGGAUGAGCCCGCGUUGGAUUAGCUAGUUGGUGGGGUAAAGGCCUACCAAGGCGACGAUCCAUAGCUGGUCUGAGAGGAUGAUCAGCCACACUGGGACUGAGACACGGCCCAGACUCCUACGGGAGGCAGCAGUGGGGAAUAUUGGACAAUGGGCGCAAGCCUGAUCCAGCCAUGCCGCGUGAGUGAUGAAGGCCCUAGGGUUGUAAAGCUCUUUCACCGGUGAAGAUAAUGACGGUAACCGGAGAAGAAGCCCCGGCUAACUUCGUGCCAGCUGCCGCGGUAAUAC